rnacentral:rRNA from 1 species
UACGUAGGGGGCAAGCGUUGUCCGGAAUUAUUGGGCGUAAAGCGCGCGCAGGCGGUUUUUUAAGUCUGGGGUAUAAGUGCAGGGCUCAACCCUGUGAUGCCCUGGAAACUGGGGAACUGGAGUGCAGGAGAGGAAAGUGGAAUUCCACGUGUAGCGGUGAAAUGCGUAGAGAUGUGGAGGAACACCAGUGGCGAAGGCGACUUUCUGGCCUGUAACUGACGCUGAGGCGCGAAAGCGUGGGGAGCAAACA